UACAGCUUAUUAAAUGCCAAGAAAACAGUUAUUUAAUGCUAAGAAAACUAUCGUUGUAUGAUUUUAUGUGUAUGAGAAAUCAAAUGUUGCUCUUCAAGAACACUUGCGGAGAAGUCAAGUAGUUAGAUAGACGAGUCUUGAGACAUUGAAAGAGGUCAGGACUAUAUAUCAAAAAUGAACUAAAAUUUUUAGUAUAUAAAUAAUUUUCAACUUAAGCUCUAUUAUCUGAUUUAAAAGACAAUUUUGACAUGUUAUUUGCUUUUCCUUUUUCAUACUGAAAAUAUGGAGAGAGAUCCACUUUAAAUAAGGCAAAUACUGUUUUGAUUUUAUAAAUCUGUGUUACUCAAACUCAUCUUUGACACUUUCAUGUUUUCUCAAAGAAUUAGGAAGGAAUGUUGUCUAGCAGUGCAGACAUAAAUAUGCAGUAUAAAUAUGGGGCAAAUUUGCAUUUUUGGAUCCCAGCAAAAUUUUGCAGAGGCACUUCUUUUAGGCCUUGGCUACAAACAAUUCUCAAUUCCUAUCUUGAGAAACACUUUUCUGUUCUUUGUAGCUCCUUAUAGAAUAACACUAGCAGUUUAUACAUUUUAUCUAAUUCAUAUUAUCUUUGCAUAAAGCUCAUAUUCAAUAAAUGACUUAAAUCUAUUCACAUUUUGGAAUACUCAGCACUUAUAAUUGCAAUUGAGAACUUUCUCUUAAAAUUUUCCUGUCCUCAUUCAUGCUUUCAUCCAUCCAUCAAUUUAUCCACCCACCCACACAUCCACCCAUCCAUCUAUCCAACAGUUACUGAGUGUCUACUAUGCAUCAGGCACUGUUACAGGUGCAUGCAAUAUAUCAGAGAAUAACACAAAGAUAUUUGCCCUUGAGGAGUUCACAUUGAGCUAAGGGGACAAUAAAAAUAAAUGUAAAAAAAGAAAAUAACAAAAUAUACAGGUAAUGAUAAAUUAUACAGGAAAACAGUAUAAGUAGAGGAGGGCAAUUAGGUUUACAAGUUCAGGCAAUAGUGUGAGUGGAACAGGUGCAAUAUUAAAUGACAUGGUAAGGGUAGGGUUCAUUGAGGAGUUAAAAUUUGAGCAAAGACUUGAAGGAGGUGUGAGUUGACCAAACAGCUAUUUAGGACAAAAACAUUGUAGGCAAAGAGGAGAGCUGGAGCUUAGUCCUGAGAUAGUUUACUUUGUAUAUUCCAGAAAGUGUUUGGAGGCCAGUGUUGCUGCAGUGUAGAGAUCCAGGAUGAGAAAAGUAGGAGAAAUCAGAGAAGCCAUGGGAGCCUGGGUCAUCUAGGCUAGUCCUCUAAGUCUAGUCAUCUUGACUAACAGGACAUUUUAAGGAUUUUGGAUUUUACUGAGAGGAAAUGGCCAGUUUUUGCCAGAGAACUAUCAUGAGCUUACUUACAUUUCAAAAGGAUUACUUUGGUUUUUCUUUUAAGAAUAGAUUGUACAAGUGGUAAGGAUAGACUUAUGAAGACAAAUUAGAAGGUCAUUAAUUUUUUUUUUUUUAAAGUAUGAGAUUAUGUGGGUUCUACCAAACUAAAAGGAAUAGAAAAUGCAUGAACUGGUCAAACUCUGGAUGCAUUUCAAUGUUGAAACCAACAGGAUUUCUUGGUACUUCCUAAUAGAUGAAGGAUGAUUUUGAGGCCACCAGGCUGAGAAAAUAGAAAGGAGGGAGUUAGGAUUUGUGAGAUGUGGGAAGCUGCUGGAGAAACAGAUUUUGGGGAGGGUGGUGGAAGAGGAAAAGCUGUGGCUUCCUUUUGAAAUUUAGGUUUCAAUAAAUAUCUAAGUGGAGAUGUCAAGAAAGUAGAUGGAUAGAUGAGUCUGGUGAUAAUGAAAGAAGUCAGGACUAUAAAUAUGAAAUUAGGAAUUAAUACAUAAGAUGGUAUACAAAGCUAAAAGACUAGAUGAGAUCAAGAAGUUGAUGAUUACAGAUAAAAAUGGUAAAAGACCAUGGAUUGACUUUUGAGGUAUUCUACAUCAGAAUUUCUUGUCCAUAAAGGGCAAGAGAAGGCAAUGACCGAAACAUAUUAAGAAGGAGCAACCAGUGAGAUCGAAGAAAAAUAAUGAAAAUAUGACAUCUGCAGCUACUAGUGAAGUUUAUCAACAAGGAGGAAGUGAUUAUCUGUGUCAAACGCUGCUUAUAGGUCAAGUAUGAUGAAUAAUAUAAAUUGACCAUUGGAUUUAGCAUUGUGGUUACAGAUGACUUCAAUGACAGUGCUUCUAACAAAAAGCUGUUUGAUAAACUCUUCCUUCCUUUUCUGUCUCCUACCAGUCGAUCUUCAUAUAUCUUUUUCCAAUUAUGAUUACAGUCAUUAAUUUUUCCUCAUGUUUUAAAUGACAAAAGAGUAUGUUUGUCAUUGAAUUAAAUAGGAAAGUCAGAUAUAUAAAUAAAAUAAUCUCACAUUUCUUCCCACACAAACAUCUCCAUAACUUUUAAGAACCUUAUCUUAAAAUCUUGGAGAGUUAUCUUUCACUUCAUUCUUCAUCUCACUUCUUUUGUGAUUCUUCAGUAACUUCAGGCCAUCUGGGCUUAUAUGUGCAAGUCACAGGGGAUGCGAUGGCUUGGCUUGGGCUCAGAGGCCUGACAUUCCUGCCUUCUUAUAUUAAUAAGAAAAAUAAAACAAAAUAUUGUUGAAGUGUUGGGGCGGCGAAAGUUUUUGGGGGGUGGUAUGGAGAGAGAAUGGGCGAUGUUUCUCAGGGCUGCUUCAAGCGGGAUUAGGGGCAGUGUGGGAACCUAGAGUGGGAGAGAUUAAGCUGAAGGGAGGUCUUGUGGUAAGGGGUGAUAUUGUGGGUAUGUUAGAAGAAAGAUUUGUCAUAUAGAAUGAUUAAUGAUGGGCUGGAUAUGGUUUUGGAUGAAUUGAGAAACUAAAUGGAAUAACAGAAGGAGAAAAACAGGUAUAAAACGUCUAAGAAUUGGGACGACUCAGGAUAUCUGAUUAGAGAGUGCCUAAGGAGAUUCGGCAUAGUCCUGCCAGCAAAGAUUAUUUAUUUACUUCAAGAGUUAAGAGUGGCAGUUUGGGGAUAGCACCAGGAGAUAUCAGCUGUGAUGGCUUGGAAAAACAGUGUAAACCAGCAGUGUAAACAAGAGCAGGGCAUGUAUGAGUAGUUGAGAAUGAUGAAUAGGAGUAUGACUAGACAGAAGAUAGUAGGGAUGACAAGUUUUUUGGGGCAUAGUCUAAGUUGGU
rnacentral:lncRNA from 1 species